UACGUAGGCAGCGAGCGUUGUUCGGAGUUACUGGGCGUAAAGGGUGUGUAGGCGGUUCUCUAAGUUUGGUGUGAAAUCUCCCGGCUCAACCGGGAGGGUGCGCCGAAAACUGGGGGACUCGAGUGCGGGAUGGGAGAGUAGAAUUCCUGGUGUAGCGGUGAAAUGCGUAGAUAUCAGGAGGAAUACCGGUGGUGUAGACGGCUCCCUGGACCGCCACUGACGCUGAGACACGAAAGCGUGGGUAGCAAACAGG
rnacentral:rRNA from 1 species